AUUGAACGCUGGCGGGCAGGCCUAACACAUGCAAGUCGAACGGUAGCACAGAGAGCUUGCUCUCGGGUGACGAGUGGCGGACGGGUGAGUAAUGUCUGGGAAACUGCCUGAUGGAGGGGGAUAACUACUGGAAACGGUAGCUAAUACCGCAUAACGUCGCAAGACCAAAGAGGGGGACCUUCGGGCCUCUUGCCAUCAGAUGUGCCCAGAUGGGAUUAGCUAGUAGGUGGGUAACGGCUCACCUAGGCGACGAUCCCUAGCUGGUCUGAGAGGAUCGACCAGCCACACUGGAACUGAGACACGGUCCAGACUCCUACGGGAGGCAGCAGUGGGGAAUAUUGGACAAUGGGCGCAAGCCUGAUCCAG
rnacentral:rRNA from 1 species